GGUGUGAUUGUUUACGUGCGUGCACAGACAAACGCCUUCUCUGUGUGCCUCCCUCCACGGGAGCCUCUGGUGCGUGUGCGCGCUUGUGGGUGCGUGUGUGGCAGGACAUGGCCUGUGCCUUCCAGCUCCGUGUGAGUCUAUUUCUGGGGAUGUGAGUCUUUGUUUGUCUCUAUGUGAGAAAGCGAGGGCAAUGGGGG
rnacentral:lncRNA from 1 species